rnacentral:rRNA from 1 species
GGGGGAUAUUGCGCAAUGGGGGAAACCCUGACGCAGCAACGCCGCGUGAAGGAAGAAGGUCUUCGGAUUGUAAACUUCUUUUGUCAGGGACGAAGAAAGUGACGGUACCUGACGAAUAAGCUCCGGCUAACUACGUGCCAGCAGCCGCGGUAAUACGUAGGGAGCGAGCGUUGUCCGGAUUUACUGGGUGUAAAGGGUGCGUAGGCGGCCGAGCAAGUCAGUUGUGAAAACUAUGGGCUUAACCCAUAACGUGCAAUUGAAACUGUCCGGCUUGAGUGAAGUAGAGGUAGGCGGAAUUCCCGGUGUAGCGGUGAAAUGCGUAGAGAUCGGGAGGAACACCAGUGGCGAAGGCGGCCUACUGGGCUUUAACUGACGCUGAGGCACGAAAGCAUGGGUAGCAAACAGGAUUAGAUACCCUGGUAGUCCAUGCCGUAAACGAUGAUCACUAGGUGUGGGGGGACUGACCCCUUCCGUGCCGCAGUUAACACAAUAAGUAAUCCACCUGGGGAGUACGGCCGCAAGGUUGAAACUCAAAGGAAUUGACGGGGGCCCGCACAAGCAGUGGAGUAUGUGGUUUAAUUCGAAGCAACGCGAAGAACCUUACCAGGUCUUGACAUCCUGAGAAUCCUUAAGAGAUUAGGGAGUGCCUUCGGGAACUCAGAGACAGGUGGUGCAUGGUUGUCGUCAGCUCGUGUCGUGAGAUGUUGGGUUAAGUCCCGCAACGAGCGCAACCCUUGCUAUUAGUUGCUACGCAAGAGCACUCUAAUAGGACUGCCGUUGACAAAACGGAGGAAGGUGGGGACGACGUCAAAUCAUCAUGCCCCUUAUGACCUGGGCUACACACGUACUACAAUGGCCAUUAACAGAGGGAAGCAAAACCGCGAGGCAGAGCAAACCCCUAAAAAUGGUCCCAGUUCGGAUUGUAGGCUGCAACCCGCCUACAUGAAGUUGGAAUUGCUAGUAAUCGCGGAUCAGCAUGCCGCGGUGAAUACGUUCCCG